GACGAACGCUGGCGGCGUGCCUAAUACAUGCAAGUAGAACGCUGAAGGAGGAGCUUGCUCUUCUGGAUGAGUUGCGAACGGGUGAGUAACGCGUAGGUAACCUGCCUGGUAGCGGGGGAUAACUAUUGGAAACGAUAGCUAAUACCGCAUAACAGUAGAUGUUGCAUGACAUUUACUUAAAAGGUGCAAUUGCAUCACUACCAGAUGGACCUGCGUUGUAUUAGCUAGUUGGUGGGGUAACGGCUCACCAAGGCGACGAUACAUAGCCGACCUGAGUGGGUGAUCGGCCACACUGGGACUGAGACACGGCCCAGACUCCUACGGGAGGCAGCAGUAGGGAAUCUUCGGCAAUGGACGGAAGUCUGACCGAGCAACGCCGCGUGAGUGAAGAAGGGUUUCGGAUCGUAAAGCUCUGUUGUAAGAGAAGAACGAGUGUGAGAGUGGAAAGUUCACACUGUGACGGUAUCUUACCAGAAAGGGACGGCUAACUACGUG
rnacentral:rRNA from 1 species